GAUGAACGCUGGCGGCGUGCCUAAUACAUGCAAGUCGAGCGAACGGACGAGAAGCUUGCUUCUCUGAUGUUAGCGGCGGACGGGGGAGUAACACGUGGAUAACCUACCUAUAAGACUGGGAUAACUUCGGGAAACCGGAGCUAAUACCGGAUGAUAUUUUGAACCGCAUGGUUCAAAAGUGAAAGACGGUCUUGCUGUCACUUAUAGAUGGAUCCGCGCUGCAUUAGCUAGUUGGUAAGGUAACGGCUUACCAAGGCAACGAUGCAUAGCCGACCUGAGAGGGUUAUCGGCCACACUGGAACUGAGACACGGUCCAGACUCCUACGGGAGGCAGCAGUAGGGAAUCUUCCGCAAUGGGCGAAAGCCUGACGGAGCAACGCCGCGUGAGUGAUGAAGGUCUUCGGAUCGUAAAACUCUGUUAUUAGGGAAGAACAUAUGUGUAAGUAACUGUGCACAUCUUGACGGUACCUAAUCAGAAAGCCACGGCUAACUACGUG
rnacentral:rRNA from 1 species